ensembl:snoRNA small nucleolar RNA U2-19
GAUCGAUGAUGAAAAUAGCCCAAAUUUGAUUAUCAGAAGCCCUUCUGGUCUACCUGAUGCAUGAUCUCCAUAGUUCUGAGA